CAAACGCCAAAGCUUCAAUCCGUUCCUCUGCUCUCUCUCUCUCUCUCUCUCUCUCUCCCUCCCUCCGAUCAAACAAAUUUCAAUUCCUAAGUGCAAUACAAACAGAGCUAAACCCUAACUUAUCUGUAUAUAUAUACGGAGUAUAAAUUAUAUCAAGGGUUUUGAAGGGAGAUCAUCGAUCGGCGAUGAUGGUGGAGUUGUUUCUGCUAGGGUGCACCGGAAUUGUAGUGUUCCUUCACGGAGCCAACUUCUUCUUCCACGCUCUCACUCACCAGGUCGCCAUCCGCUCCCUCAGAUAAACAAGUGGAGGAGAUGAUGAUGCUGAAAUCGCAACUCACUGAGUAGGUGAAAGUAGGAGCGGAGCCUUUGCACCUAUGACCUAACGCCCCUGCGCUUCUCGUGAUUAACUAGUGCUAAUCACCAUCACAUUGCUUUAUUAAGGAGAUUAUAUCUUAAUUGUGAAAUGAUUUCAAAGUACUGCCUAUUAAUUUGAAACUUUAGUGUAUAAUUUAGCAUAAUAUCUCAAAUGUAAUGAUUAUAAGGCAGGCUCAGUGUUGCUAUGUUUUAAAGUAAAGCAAUAAUUUAUUAGCUUUCUUUUAUUUUUAUGGAAGAAGAUGAAAAUUAUUAGCGUUUUAUUAUAAUAAGUUUGAACUUUAAAUCAAAGGGGUUUUCACCACUUUUGUCAUAGAAGUGGGUGAAAUAGAUCCGAAAUAAAUAGUUAAAUGUA